UACAGAAGUCUCAAGCGUUGUUCGGAUUCAUUGGGCGUAAAGGGUGCGUAGGUGGCGAUGUAAGUCUGGUAUGAAAUCUCGGGGCUCAACCUCGAAAUUGCAUUGGAUACUGCGUUGCUUGAGGAUUGUAGAGGAGAGUGGAAUUCAUGGUGUAGCAGUGAAAUGCGUAGAUAUCAUGAGGAAGACCAGUUGCGAAGGCGACUCUCUGGGCAAUUCCCGACACUGAGGCACGAAGGCCAGGGGAGCGAACGGG
rnacentral:rRNA from 1 species